rnacentral:rRNA from 1 species
UACGAAGGGGGCUAGCGUUGCUCGGAAUCACUGGGCGUAAAGCGCGUGUAGGCGGCCCGGUAAGUCCGCUGUGAAAGUCGGGGGCUCAACCCUCGGAUGCCGGUGGAUACUGUCGGGCUCGAGUACGGAAGAGGCGAGUGGAAUUCCUGGUGUAGCGGUGAAAUGCGCAGAUAUCAGGAGGAACACCAAUUGCGAAGGCAGCUCGCUGGGACGUUACUGACGCUGAGACGCGAAAGCGUGGGGAGCAAACAGG